rnacentral:lncRNA from 1 species
GUUAUCUGAUUGGCACACCGUAACUGCUCUAUUUCGUGCAUUUACACUUAAGCCUCUAAUAAUAGUUCUUUGAAAAGCACUGUCUUGUAUUUAACUGAUGAUUGGCUCCAGCAAUUAAAUCCUACCACACUUUAGAAUGCUGGACUAUUCUGCUGCUUCCCAGAGUUGGAAAGAAAGGAGUUGACUCACAUCUUACCCAUCUCACUCCAGGUCAGCAAUGGCACUGGAGGCAGUGCUGGGGAUACUGAGGAUAUUGCUGUUUUGAGUGGCAUGUGUUUGCUCUGGAGAAAACAAUACAGAGCCUCCCUCGAAUGCAGAGUUAACAGUGGGGUUGUGUUUCUGAUCAACAGAAGCUGCUGGAUUACACCUUGUCCACAGAUAUAAAAAGCGGGGAGGAGCAGACCGACAGCAGAAUGGGUCAACGUAAGGAACGGCAGAUAACGGCUUCCCAGGAGCAGUCAUUUCUAACCUCUACUACGCAUCAGAGUCAUCCAGAGAGCUUGUUAAAACACAGAUUUCUGCGUCCCACCCUCAGAGUUUGCUGACUGAGAAGGUCUGGGUUGGACCAAAGAAUCUGCAUUUUUUAAAAGUUCCAUGGUCUAGGACCACACUUUGAGAACUGCUGUUCCAAAGAACCACCUGCUUUAUACUCUGGUUUCUCUUCGGAUCAUAUAAAUCUGCCUUUUAAAAAAGCACCUGUUGGAUCUAUGAAACUGAUGCAGCCGGUAGUUUCUCAUUAUGGUCUCAUUACCCUUUACAUUGAAAAAUACAAAGCCACUUCAAUUGCCAUUUCACAGUACAGCCCAUGGCCUGGAACGGGCACAGCUGCCCUCUUUAGGUUGAAAAUAUUUGGCAAAUAAGGAAUGCUGGCAAGAGAGGCUGCAGUUUUGACACCUACACCUUGAUUUGGGAUUCAUUUUUCUCACUCAGGAUUUGGCAAGCGUAUGUCUUCUUUAAAGUGAGACUGAAAAUAAGCUCUGACUCACAAACCUAGCUUAAAACACCACAAAGAGUAAACAACUAUUUCCAUAACUAAUAAUUAUUAAAAUAUGUUUUUGAGUUUUUGCAUAACUUGCCUGUAUAAUGAGAUCUAAGUAUUUACAUGGAAUUUCUACAUUACUGUGUGAAUAAAUUAACAGAACUAAAACCUGCCUCCUGACCUCUAGCCUCUCCCUGAUGUCAGCCUGUGCUCAACCCUG